rnacentral:rRNA from 1 species
UACGAAGGGGGCUAGCGUUGCUCGGAAUCACUGGGCGUAAAGCGCACGUAGGCGGAUUGUUAAGUCAGGGGUGAAAUCCUGGAGCUCAACUCCAGAACUGCCUUUGAUACUGGCGAUCUCGAGUCCGGGGAGAGGUGAGUGGAACUGCGAGUGUAGAGGUGAAAUUCGUAGAUAUUCGCAAGAACACCAGUGGCGAAGGC